GGCUUGGUCCUGGCCUUGCUGUCAACUUUAGCUAGACUUACACAUGCAAGUUUCUGCCCCCCCGUGAGAAUGCCCUACAGUUUCUUUAGUAGAAUCAAGGAGCAGGUAUCAGGCACACUACUAGUAGCCCAUAACACCUUGCUUAGCCACACCCCCAAGGGACCACAGCAGUGAUAGAUAUUAAGCAAUAAGUGAAAACUUGACUUAGUUAAAGCUCAUUAGGGCCGGUAAAACUCGUGCCAGCCACCGCGGUUAUACGAGAGGCCCAAGCUGACAGCCUCUCGGCGUAAAGAGUGGUUAAAUAAGUAGUGAACUAAAGCCGAAUGUUCUCUUAACUGUCAUACGCCUUCGAGAAUUGGAAGCCCCCUUACGAAAGUAGCUUUAUAUUAUUGAAUCCACGAAAGCUAAGACACAAACUGGGAUAGAUACCCCACUAUGCUUAGCCUUAAACUUAGUUAGUAUAUUACAUACACACCCGCCUGGGAACUACGAGCAUUAGCUUAAAACCCAAAGGACUUGGCGGUGCUUAACACCCCCCUAGAGGAGCCUGUUCUAGAACCGAUAACCCUCGUUAAACCUCACCCUUUCUUGCCUAUUCCGCCUAUAUACCGCCGUCGUCAGCUUACCCUGUGAAGGUCUUAUAGUAAGCAUAAUUGGUUUAUACCCAAAACGUCAGGUCGAGGUGUAGCAAAUGAAGGGGAAAGAAAUGGGCUACAUUUCCUGGCCACAGGAUAUACGGAAAAUACUGUGAAAAAAGUAUUAGAAGGAGGAUUUAGAAGUAAGAGGGAAACAGAGUGUCCCCCUGAAACAGGCUCUUAAGCGCGUACACACCGCCCGUCACUCUCCCCAAGCAACAUUAACACAUAAUUAAUUAUACUUUAUAGCAAAGGGGAGGCAAGUCGUAACAUGGUAAGUGUACCGGAAGGUGCACUUGGUUUAAC
rnacentral:ncRNA from 1 species